GAGGAAAAGAAACCAACAGGGAUUACCUCAGUAACGGCGAGUGAAGCGGUAAUAGCUCAAAUUUGAAACCUGGCCUCUUGGGGUCCGAGUUGUAAUUUGUAGAGGAUGUUUUGGGUACCGCCCCGGUUUAAAUUUCUUGGAACAGAAUGUCAAAGAGGGUGAGAAUCCCGUCUUGGACCGGUGGUAGGGCCUGUGUAAAACUCCUUCGACGAGUCGAGUUGUUUGGGAAUGCAGCUCAAAAUGGGUGGUAAAUUUCAUCUAAAGCUAAAUAUUGGCCAGAGACCGAUAGCGCACAAGUAGAGUGAUCGAAAGAUGAAAAGCACUUUGAAAAGAGAGUUAAACAGUAUGUGAAAUUGUUGAAAGGGAAGCGCUUGCAAUCAGACUUGAGCGCGGCGGUUCCCCUGACCUUUUGGUUAGGCUAUUCCGUCGUGUCCAGGCCAACAUCGGUUCUGAGGGUCGGUCAAAGGCCUUGGGAAUGUAUCUACCCACGGGUAGACUUAUAGACCAGGGUGUCAUGCGGCCUCUCGGGACCGAGGAACGCGCUUCGGCUCGGAUGUUGGCGUAAUGGUUGUUAGCGACCCG
rnacentral:rRNA from 1 species